GACGAACGCUGGCGGCGUGCUUAACACAUGCAAGUCGAACGGUGAAGCGAGUGCUUGCACUCGUGGAUCAGUGGCGAACGGGUGAGUAACACGUGAGUAACCUGCCCAUCACUCUGGGAUAAGCACUGGAAACGGUGUCUAAUCCUGGAUACGACCAACCCUUCCAUGGGGUGUUGGUGGAAAGAUUUUUCGGUGAUGGAUGGACUCGCGGCCUAUCAGCUUGUUGGCGGGGUAAUGGCCCACCAAGGCGACGACGGUUCGCCGGCCUGAGAGGGUGACCGGGCACACGGGGACUGAGACAGGGACCAGACUCGUACGGGAGGCAGCAGUGGGGAAUAUGGCACAGUGGGAGCAAGCCUGAUGCGGCGACGCCGGGUGAGGGAUGACGGCCUUCGGGUUGUAAACCGCUUUCAGCAGGGAAGAAGCGAAAGUGACGGUACCUGAAGAAGAAGCACCGGCUAACUACGUG
rnacentral:rRNA from 1 species